UUUUUUUUUUUUUUUUUUUUUUUUUGCUAUUUCUUGGGCCACUCCCACAGCAUGUGGAGAUUCCCAGGCUAGGGGUUGAAUCGGAGCUGUAGCCUCCAGCCUACGCCAGAGCCACAGCAACGUGGGAUCCGAGCCACGUCUGCGACCUACACCACAGCUCGUGGCAACGCCCUAUCGUUAACCCACUGAACAAGGGCAGGGACAGAACCCGCAACCUCAUGGUUCCUAGUCGGAUUUGUUAACCACUGCGCCACGACGGGAACUCCAGAUUUUUUGAUUUAUUCUGAAAUGGAGGAUUUUGAGAUGAACUGACUGUGUUUUGUGGGGGGAGGACAGAUGCCAGUUUUGGGGGGUCAUAGGGUGAUCUGUACUGAAUUGUAUAGUAUAACCUCAAAAUUCCAGUACACCUGGAAUGUGAACUUAUUUUUCAAUGUCUUUGCGGGUGUGAUUAGUUAAGAGGAGUUUAUAUAGGAUGAGAGUAGGUCCUAAAUCCGGUGAUGGGUGUCCAUGUAAGAGGAGAGACACACAGACAGAGGGGACAACGCCUUAUACAGAGAGGCAGAAUUCGAGCGAUGUGGCCCUAAGCCAAGGCUUGCUAAGGACUGCCCGAACCACCGGACCACUGUAGGCUAGGGGCAUUGACAGCAAUUCCACUUACAGUCUCAGAGGAAGCCUGGCUCUUGCUGGCACUUUCCCUUCAGACUUCUGGCCUCCAGACCUCAGAGGUAAUAUGUUUCUGUCAUUUGAAACCACCCCAUUUGUAGUAAUUUGUUAGGGAGCCUUAAGAAAAGAAUAUAUUUUGUAUUUGAGACAAUGAGAUUGGAUGAAGUUGCCAAAGCAGUGAGUGAGGUCAUGAGAAACUGGGGGGAAAAAGGGCUGAGUGAUCGGUGAGGAAGGAGGAACCCGACACAGGUGGGAGGUGAGAGGAAAAGUGAGACCCACAGAGAGCUCGGGGCAGGGGGAAGGGGAGCGGCAGGGAGAAUGGGAGCCUUAUCCCUUGGAAUGUCAUGAAUUUCAAAUAAGACCAAUCAGCAUGACUGUGUCCUGUUCUCCAGCUCUCUUCAGCAACAGGUGCAAAGAACUGGCAGACACUUGGACUUAACAGGAGGUAGUUUUCCAAAGAGGGUGAGCUGAAGAAGAAGGACCAGGAGUUAAGAAAGCAGGCUCUGAGUGGCUGCAGAAUUUAAGCUCACAAGUCAGUUCUCCUUUCUGUCUGAUCAACUUUUGCUUCCUACAUUUUGAGGCUCUGAGUUCCGCAUGUGCAUUUAGGAUUUCUGUGAAUUGACACUUGAUCAUCCCGUGACGUUAAAUUGAUUUCCUCUGAAGUCUACCUAUUAUUUUUUCCUUUCCUUUUCUUUUUUUUUUUCUUUUCUAGCUUCCCUGUAGCAUAUGCAGUUCCUGGGCGGGAUCAAAUCUGAGCCACAAUUGCAACCUACUAAGCAACUGUGGCAACACUGGAUCCUUAACCAACUGUGCUGGGCUGGGGAUUGAACCUGUGUCACAGUGCUCCAGAGAUGCUGCUGAUCCUGUUGGACCAGAGUGGGAACUCCUGAAGUCUACUUGUUUGAUAUUAAUCUCAACACUCCUCUUUCUGUCUGUCUGUCUGUCUUUUGUCUUUUUAGGGCCCACAGAAUGUGGAGGUUCCCGGGCUAGGUGUCGAAUUGGAGCUGUAGUCGCUGGCCUGCACCGCAGUCACAGCAAAGUGGGAUCUGAGCCUCGUCUGUGACCUACACCACGGCUCGUGGCAACACCGGAUCCCCAACCCACUAAACGAGGCCAGGGAUCAAACCCGCAUCCUCCUGGCUACUAGUCAGGUUUGUUUUUGCUGAGCCACAAUGGAAACUCCUGUAUAUUUUCUUCUUUGUCUUUUGUUUUCCAUGGUUUGAUUACAAAAGGUCUGGGCAUGGUUUUCUUGGCCUUUAUCCUCUUUAAGUUUUCUUACUUCUUGAAUCUGUGUAUUUGCCUUAUUCACCAAUUUGGGGACAUUUUCAGCUAUUAUUUUUUUCAAAUUCUUUUUUUCUGUGCCAGUCUUUUCCUUUUUUGUGUGUGUUACAUUGAGAUUGCUGCUUAUGUUGGUGGUGUGUUCUCUUUAUGCCACCUUUGGGGGUUCUUUUUUUCUCUUUGUUUAGAUGGGGUAAUGUCUGUCAAUCUAAUUUCAGGUUCACUAACUCUUUUCUUCAUGAUUCCCAUUUUGUUAUUGAAUUGAUCCAGGGAAUCUUUAUUUCACAUGUUGCACUUUUCUCUUGGAAAAUUUUCCUUGGGUUAUUUUGUACAGUUCCUUUCUCUGCUGGGCACUUCCUUCUUUCUUUCACUUGGAGCUUGUUUUCCUCGGCCUUACAGAGCGUGGUUCUUCUAGUAGCCACUUUAAGUCUUUGAUGGUUGCUGUGUCUGGGUUGCCUGGAGGCGGACCUUCAUCACCUGUCUUUUCUCUUGAGAAUUAGUCACACCCUCCUGCCUUUUCUGCUGUGUCCUCCAGACUCUGGGUGCAGGGUCCUCUUACAAUCUUAAUAGAGAGUGUUGAUGCUUUUGUUUGUUUAUUUGUUUCUUAUUUUAGCAGGAUAUCACCUUGGUUAGGUCUAACCAUAAGUUCCAUUUCACGGUCUAUGGCCAGUGGUUCUAAUCUCAGUUCUGCUUUAGAGAUUUUCAAUGCUACUAAUUAUUAGAGACAUGCAAGUCAAAACUACAAUGAGGUAUCAUCUCGCACUGGUUGGAAUGGCCAUCCUUAAUAAGUCUACAAAUAACACAUGCUGGAGAGGGUGUGGUAAAAAGGGAGGCCUCCUACACUGUUGGUGGGAAUGUCGAUUGGUACAACCACUGUGGAAAACAGUAUGGAGGGGCCUCCGAAAAAUGAAUAUAGAGCUACCAUGGGACCCAGCAAAUGCUACUGGGGAUAUAUCCAGACAAAACCACAAUUCAAAAAGAUAUACACACCAGGAUAUUCACUACAGCACUAUUCCCAAUAGCCAAAACAUGGAAACAACCUAAAUGUCCACUGACAGAUGAAUGAAUGAAGAAGAUGUGGUACCUCUAUACAAGGGAAUACUACUCAGCCGUAAAAAGGAAAGAAGGCCAUUUGCAUCAACAUGGUUGCAACUAGACAUUAUCAUGCUAAAUAAAGCCAGUCAGAAAGAGGACAGAUACCGUAUGAUACCACUUAUAUGUGGAAUCUCAAAUACGGCACAAAUGAACCUGUCUACUAAACGGAAACAGACUCAUAAACAUAGAGGACAGACAUGUGGUUGCCAAGGAGGAAGGGGAGGGAGAGGGAUGGAUGGGGAGUUUGGGGUUAGUAGAUACAAACUAUUCCAUUUAGGCUGGAUAAGCAAUGAGGUCCUACUGUGGAGCACAAGGAACUGUAUCCAGCCUCUUGGGAGAGACCAUGAAGGAAGAUCAUACAAGAAAGGGAAUGUAUGUGUGUAUGACUAGGUCACUUUAUGUAUCGCAGAAAUUGGCAGAACACUAAAUCAACUAUAC
rnacentral:lncRNA from 1 species